GAUGAACGCUGGCGGCAGGCUUAACACAUGCAAGUCGAACGAGAUCUUCGGAUCUAGUGGCAGACGGGUGAGGAACACGUGGGAACAUCCCUUUCAGUUCGGAAUAACGUUGGGAAACUAACGCUAAUACCGGAUACGUCCUUCGGGAGAAAGAUUUAUCGCUGAAAGAUUGGCCCGCGUCUGAUUAGCUAGUUGGUGAGGUAAUGGCUCACCAAGGCUACGAUCAGUAGCUGAUCUGAGAGGAUGAUCAGCCACAUUGGGACUGAGACACGGCCCAAACUCCUACGGGAGGCAGCAGUGGGGAAUAUUGGACAAUGGGCGCAAGCUUGAUCCAGCCAUGCCGCGUGAGUGAUGACGGCCUUCGGGUUGUAAAGCUCUUUUGUCCGGGAAGAUAAUGACUGUACCGGAAGAAUAAGCCCCGGCAAACUUCGUGCCAGCCGCCGCCGUAA
rnacentral:rRNA from 1 species